rnacentral:rRNA from 1 species
UACGUAGGGUGCGAGCGUUAAUCGGAAUUACUGGGCGUAAAGCGUGCGCAGGCGGUUUUGUAAGCCAGAUGUGAAAUCCCCGGGCUUAACCUGGGAAUGGCAUUUGGGACUGCAAGGCUCGAGUGCGGCAGAGGAGACUGGAAUUCCUGGUGUAGCAGUGAAAUGCGUAGAGAUGUGGAGGAACACCAGUGGCGAAGGCGGCUUUCUGGUCUGUAACUGACGCUGAGGCGCGAAAGCGUGGGGAGCAAACAGG